CAGUGAUGGUGGGCAGGUGGGUGUCGGGAUCAAACUGUAUCGCCUGCAAACAGAAGUAAGGAGUAUUGCUGUCACCGACCAAAAAGGUGGUCAGAAGAAUAUGCAAAAUCGCACCACGAGCAACACGGGACCUUCCUCCAGGCUGAAUAAGCUAAAUGAACUUCAAUUUUUAAAAAGAGGCCAUUUUAUCGACCUUGAAAAUUCCAUUCAUCAUCUCAAAAGGGCACACCAUCUUCCUAGAAAUGACAACAGACAGAAUGGGUAUGACACCCUGGGGAGAAGCCAAGGGAGUGGAAGAUCCACUAGACAAUGGGAAAAUCUACGACAGCAGUCCUUUAGUACAUCAAUACUAUUAUUGUCUUUAAUGCCGGGAAGAUGGUAUCUACGAUGUUUAGAGGCUCAUGCAAUGUAACACAAGGGAUACUUUAAUUUGGAUAACCUAAAAUGAAGAGACUUAGGAGAGGAAUAUGAAGAUAAUUUUAAAAUGAAUAUGAGAAGACAAAGAAUUCACUGUAAUAUUUCCUGGCCCAUUUAAUACAUCAGAAAUUUCCAUGAAGCACAUACUUGACAGUAUUCUAAAAAGUAUAAAAUAUGCAAAUAAAAGAGGCUAUCCUAUCACCACAAACAGGUUUUUUUAAACUUUCAUUGUAUUUUUAAACAAAAUAAAUGAGAUACUUAAACAGUAAAUAAACACGUAAACUAUGUUGAGCUAUAUUGUAUAUUUACACAGUAAAAUAGUAUAUAUACA